rnacentral:lncRNA from 7 species
GAAAUAAAUCGUGAUGCUGUGAAGGGAGAUCUUCAGACAGUGGUAGGAAAAAGCAAGUGGUAGAAAUACAGUUUCUUGCACCGUCUUCUGCAUCACUGCUGAAAAAAAUGUGGUUCUGCCUGUGGCCCUCAAAGGAAGGAAGUUGCCAGCACAACGUGUGUGUGCAUCCAGAAAUCUCAAAAUCGGCGAAAGCUAACAUGCCCAAUGUCUGCUAAAUGGACACAGGGAGAUGCUUGGCUGGUUCCUGACUUGAAGGAUAAAUACACGCUGAGAUGAAACUGACUUCCCGGAAGAAUGUAACUGUCUCUAUUUGGCACAGUUGCCUACUAAUGCUUAAUGAUUCAGAAGUCUUAACUCUGUAAAAUUAGGUUGAAAUUGCCCAAGUGGUGUCCUAAGUUAGUAGUGAAAGGACUGGAACAGACACGAGUACAAGUUACAUGUUCUAGUUCUGUUGGAAAACAGAAAAGAAUUAUCAUAGAAUCACAGAAUGGCUUGUGUUGGAAGGGACCUUUAUGAUUAUCAAAUUCCAGCCCCCUGCUGUGGGCCGGGUGGCCACCCACCAGAUCAGGCUGACCAAAGCCUCCUCAAACCUGGCCUUGAACACCUACAGUGAUGGGGCAUCCGCAGCUUCUCUGGGCAGCCUGGGCCACUGCCUCACCACCCUCUGAGUAAAUAAUUUCCUCCUAACAUUCAAUCUAAAUGUCCCCUCUUUUAGUUUAAAGCCAUUCCCCCUUGUUCUAUCACUGUCUGCACAUGUAAUAUUAUGUUAACAAGACAUCAUUUUAAAGAAGAGCCAUCCUGGGAAGUGGUGAUCAGCUUCUCUCAUGUGUUUUAAGUCAGGGAUCGCUUAUCCAAAAAGAAGAGACAGACUGACUGUUUGAGAAUUUGCUUUAUCUUGCUCAUCAUGUAUAUAUUUUAGUUAGGGACUAAAAUAAAAUAUUUAAGGUAU